GGUGACGGAAAAGUUACCCCAGGGAUAACUGGCUUGUGGCGGCCGAGCGUCCAUAGCGACGCCGCUUUUUGAUUUUUCGAUGUCGGCUCUUCCGAGCAUGGUGGAGUAUCAGCCAACCAAGUGUGUGAUUGUUCACCAACUAACAGGGAACGUGAGCUGGGUUUAGACCGUCGCGAGACAGGUUAGUUUUACCCUACUGCAUCGCGUCCGAGAGUAGGUCGGGGCAGUACGAGAGGAAGUGCCGAUCAGAACCGCUGGUGAUACUUUCGUCUGUUAAGGCGCGAAGUGUAGCUACGUUCUUCUUAUAAUAGCUGAAAGCCUCUAAGCUAGAA
rnacentral:rRNA from 1 species